CGGACGGGUGAGUAACACGUGGAUAACCUACCUAUAAGACUGGGAUAACUUCGGGAAACCGGAGCUAAUACCGGAUAAUAUAUUGAACCGCAUGGUUCAAUAGUGAAAGACGGUUUUGCUGUCACUUAUAGAUGGAUCCGCGCCGCAUUAGCUAGCUGGUAAGGUAACGGCUUACCAAGGCAACGAUGCGUAGCCGACCUGAGAGGGUGAUCGGCCACACUGGAACUGAGACACGGUCCAG
rnacentral:rRNA from 1 species